GACGUAGGUGGCGAACGUUAUCCGGAAUUAUUGGGCGUAAAGGGUGCGUAGGCGGCAUGAUAAGUUAUUGGCGGUAAAUCGAGGCUCAACCUCGUGGAAACUGAUAAUACUGUUUUGCUUGAGUACAGGAGAGGUUAACGGAACUCCAUGCGGAGCGGUAAAAUGUGUAGAUAUAUGGAAGAACAUCAAUAACGGCGAAGGCAGUUAACUAUUCUGUCACUGACGUUGAGGCACGAAAGCGUGGGGAGCAAAAAGG
rnacentral:rRNA from 1 species